UCGAACUACGUUUGACCUGAUUCCUGCUUCAACGGGAUAUGUAGGCAUCCCAAUGGCUCGGUUAUGUAAACCCAAGAAAUGGAAACUGGGACAAAAUUUUUGAGAAGAAGUCUCAAAAAUUCAUAGGAGGAAUAUCAUUAUCCAACAAAGAGAACAAGGACUAACAAAGGCUUCAGAUCCUCUCGAGUUGAGAUUGUCUCAAACAACUUUAAACUGGGGCAGAAGAUUUUGAGGAAGG
rnacentral:lncRNA from 1 species